GACUUGGCUGGGUGGUCCGCUUAACAGCGUGUACUGCUUGGCUGGGUCUUACUUCUUGGUGAGCCGGCAUGCCCUUUAUUGGUGUGUGUCGGGGAACCAGGACUUUUACCUUGAGAAAAUUAGAGUGUUUAAAGCAGGCAUACGCUUGAAUACAUUAGCAUGGAAUAAUAGAAUAGGACU
rnacentral:rRNA from 1 species